rnacentral:lncRNA from 1 species
GUAAUAGGUCAACUAUAUAUGUUGUAUAGAAGCAUUGUUAGCUGUACAUGUCUGCCUGGCAUGGUUCAUCUUACCUUGACCUCAUUUUCAAGGUGCAUUGCUCUUUGUUUAGUUAUCUUGGUUAAUGUUAAGUUUAUGUGACAGUUGUUAUAAAGCUUAGUUUUAUACUUAGGGCUAUCAACAUAAUAUCAAUGAUUAGUAUAGAAGGCAAG